AAAAAAAGCGGUCACCACAUCGGCCGAUUUCCAUGGCCGCCUCUUCGUCCCCAUCGGCGUCGGAGUCUUCAUCUUCUUCAGGUCACAGGGAGCGUAAGCGUCAUCGGCGCAACCGCAAAGACAAAGAUAAGGACUCUCUCAAGAUCCGCAAGAAGAGCCGCUCUCGCACCAAACGUCAUCGUAGCCGUCAUUCAUCGUCCGAUAGCUAUUCUUAUUCCUCAUCAUCCGAAGAUUACAGUUCUUCAGACAGUGAGCGUGAAGCAGUCAGCAGUUCAAAAAGACACAUACAGAAAGAUAGAGGCACAAAGCUUGUUGUCUUUUUAGAAGAAGAAUAAAGAGAAAGGGAAAAGUCACCGGCAAAAACGUCAUAAGAAUAAAAUUAAAGAGGUAGAUUUUUGUUUUCAUAAUCAAGCAGUCUUCAUCUAUUCUGCCAGAUUUCCUCUGCAUUUUAUGUUCUCAUGUCUUACACAAUUACACUGAGCAUAUAAAAGUUAAGAGUGUACAGUUUCACUGUCCAUAUGAAGUUAUGAACUUCUUAGAUUUCAUUUAUUGGGAGUAAAUGCAUUUGGUUACAGUAUGAGAUGCUUAUAGUAUUUUUCUGCCUGUUGUUUUUUACGGCUCUUCAAAAUUGGAGCUGUGGACAUGAUGACUGUAUGCUCGGUAACUUGCAUGGUUUUGUUACUUGUUUGUGGAUUAUGGUGGCAAUGCGAGCCAUAUGCAGAAGCAGCAGGUGGAAAGUAAUGGCCCUGUGCAGCUCUCUAAGUUUUUAGGUCGUGACAAAGAUGAUGGGGUCCGUCGCAGUGCUGUCUCUGGAAAAAAGAUUCUCUUGAAGCUAGACAAGACAAAGGAGGAUAAGGAAGCAGAGAGUAAACGAAAUGAAUUACUCAAAUUCCUGAAUGCAAGUUAUGAUUGAUUAUUGAAGCCUAAAAGUUGGUACAAGUUCCCCACAUGUCCAAGCAAAUGUUGAAGCAAUGUAUCAAGUAUCAAUGUUCUCAUUGUAGAACUUGGAUCAUUUUGCCUUUAUUGGUGAGAUAGGUUCGGUUGAAUUCAGCCUCCAGUUGUAGUUCAGUACCAUGCUUCUGCAUUUCUGCUGCUUCCAGUGUGGGAAGUUUGUGAAAACACCAUAGCAUUAAGCUCUCAUAUAUGGUUUUACAAUACCAUACAAUGUGAUGUUAAAUUGUUGAAGUGUUUUGGCUUAUCGUUGGUGACUUUUAUGGGACGAAACCACCGUUGUUUUCUGAGGAGAACCAACUUGCAAACUCAGCUCCGUCUAGUUUCAGAAACCAUGUCUCGAUUUUUGAUAUAUGCUUAUAUUUGACUAGUACAAAUUUACCCCCUCUUUUUACCCAAUGUGAUUAGAUGAUUGAAAUUAAAUUUGUGCUGCUAAAUCUUUCUGCCUUAUUGAUUGAGGCAGAG
rnacentral:misc_RNA from 1 species